UUCGCAAUGCCCGAAAGGGUGACGAAGCGACGCCGCGUGCGGGAAGAAGGCCUUCGGGUUGUAAACCGCUGUCGGGAGUUAGGAAGUGCAAGGAUGUUAAUAGCGUUCUUGCUUGACUAAGGCUCCGGAGGAAGCCACGGCUAACCCUGUGCCAGCAGCCGCGGUAAUACAGAGGCGGCAAGCGUUGUUCGGAAUUAUUGGGCGUAAAGAGCACGUAGGCGGCUGUGUAAGUCGGUUGUGAAAGCCUUCCGCUUAACGGAAGAACGGCAUCCGAUACUGCAUAGCUUGAGUGCGAGAGGGGAGAGUGGAACUUCUGGUGGAGCGGUGAAAUGCGUAGAUAUCAGAAGGAACACCGGCGGCGAAGGCGACUCUCUGGUCCGUAACUGACGCUGAGUGUGCGAAAGCUAGGGGAGCAAACGGGAUUAGAUACCCCGGUAGUCCUAGCCGUAAACGAUGGGCACUAAGUAGAGGGGUUUU
rnacentral:rRNA from 1 species